rnacentral:rRNA from 1 species
UCAUGGCUCAGGACGAACGCUGGCGGCGUGCCUAAUACAUGCAAGUCGAACGCACUGACAGAGAAACUUGUUUCUCUUGACGUGAGUGGCGCACGGGUGAGUAACACGUGGGAAACCUACCCUUCAGCGGGGGAUAACCGUCGGAAACGAUGGCUAAUACCGCAUAGGUCUUUUAACCGCCUGGUUGAAAGAGGAAAGACGGCUUCGGCUGUCACUGAAGGAUGGUCCCGCGGUGCAUUAGCUAGUUGGUAAGGUAACGGCUUACCAAGGCGAUGAUGCAUAGCCGACCUGAGAGGGUGAUCGGCCACAUUGGGACUGAGACACGGCCCAAACUCCUACGGGAGGCAGCAGUAGGGAAUCUUCCGCAAUGGACGCAAGUCUGACGGAGCAACGCCGCGUGUGUGAAGAAGGUCUUCGGAUCGUAAAGCACUGUUAUUAGAGAAGAACAACCGGUAGAGUAACUGUUACCGGCUUGACGGUAUCUAACCAGAAAGCCACGGCUAACUACGUGCCAGCAGCCGCGGUAAUACGUAGGUGGCAAGCGUUGUCCGGAUUUAUUGGGCGUAAAGGGAGCGCAGGCGGUGACUUAAGUCUGAUGUGAAAGCCCACGGCUCAACCGUGGAAGGUCAUUGGAAACUGGGUCACUUGAGUGCAGAAGAGGAAAGUGGAAUUCCAUGUGUAGCGGUGAAAUGCGUAGAUAUAUGGAGGAACACCAGUGGCGAAGGCGACUUUCUGGUCUGUAACUGACGCUGAGGCUCGAAAGCGUGGGGAGCAAACAGGAUUAGAUACCCUGGUAGUCCACGCCGUAAACGAUGAGUGCUAAGUGUUGGAGGGUUUCCACCCUUCAGUGCUGGAGUUAACGCAAUAAGCACUCCGCCUGGGG